rnacentral:rRNA from 1 species
AUGUUUUUUACGUUUGUAAUUUUACGUAACAUAAAAUACUUUUUACGUCGCUUAUAUACACACACACAAUUUCUCCUAAUUGGUGCCUUCGGAGCCAGUGGCAUUAGCCUAAUUGGUGCCUUCGAAGCACGAUAA